GUGAGGCGUCUCUUUCAGUGUUUGCAGUAAACCCUAGAAUGAACUGCUGUCUGCAAAGUCCUGUACCGUGACAUCUAAAAUGAAGUGGCUGGUAAAGCUCAAAGGCUGAUACGGAGAGCUUUUGUCUACCUUUAACUCAUCGUGGCUCUUCUGUGCAUCCACCUCUCCAGUGUUGCAGGGAAUCAGGUGACCUCUUACUUUCUGUGGUUGCUGUGAUGUCGCAGAUACAAUGAGGCACUGCCCAGACCCUUAUUUGCACGAGAGCCAUUCAUUCCUCCAGCUGCCAUAAGGGUGGACUGCUGCUUCAGGCUUAUAGGGCGAGGAGAAGAUGGACACACAAGACCACCACAUGAAGAGAAGGCCUGAGAGUGGGUGAUGCAUCUGUAAGCUGCAGGGAUUUCUAAGCCACCACAAGUGAGGAAGAAGCAAGGGAUGUCCCUCCCUAGAGCCUGCAUCGAGCGAGAACGACCCUACUGAUACCUCGCUUUCAGUUUCCCAGCCCCAAGAACUAUUAAAAAAAAUUUUCUUGUUUUUUAAGCUACCAAGUUUGUGACAUUUUGUUAUGACAGUCCUAGAAAUUGAAUACAUCCUUGAAACAGCUUACAGCCUUCCAUAUCCAGGCCCUGAGCUCUUGUACUUUAACUAGAAUGUGAAGGCAUAAAUUAAAUUAUUGCAGCUGGGUGACAGAAGGAUUUUUUUCCCUUAACAAUUCAUAGCACAGUGCCUGGAGCAUAGUAGGAUGUAACAAAUAUUUACGGGAUGAAUGAGCACGUUUCAUGCUUCAUUUGAGGUCCGCAGUGCAGAGGCACUUUGAUGCUAAUGGUAAAAAUCUGUGUAGUGUGUUGCUAAUGCUUGCAGUGUGCUCACUGCACCUCAGGAGAUGGCUGACUUUAGGAGGAGCCAUGAACUCGAUGCCUGCAUUCUGAGAAGCAGUGACAGGAGUCUUACUCUCACAGAGAAGUCUGGAGAUGACAGUGUGUGUUUCUUAAUUGUUAGACUGACUUUAGCUUCAGAGAAGUGCUGGUUCUACAGCCAACUGGUUUCUCUGAACUGUUUAAGUCACCUUGCAAAAUCCUUUAUUUGACUCAUCUAUAUGGUCAUUUUCUUGUAAGAUGUUCUAUAUCAAAUAUUUUGGCUUGCUUCAGGAAUGUAUAUUUAACUGUAUACCAAAGCAAGGAACACUGUUUACCUGAGUUGACACUAGAGGACUGAGAAUUCCCCAUAUAAUGCACGGGGGAUAGGAUACUAGUCCUUCAAAGAGAGCUUGUGGAGUGAAGAGAAGGAAAGAUGGAGAGUGUCAAAGAUCAGAGAUGUUCUUUCCCUUCAUUCAAAAUGCAGGACUUUAAACAGGCCCAGGGGAAAUAUAUCAUCAGUCUCUGUAUAAAGAAAAUGAAGCUCAGAAAUAUGAAUUUAAACUACCCUGGGAAGAAGUCAGGUGAAUUUUCCAUCACGGCAGUCGUUGGGAACACUGCGGAUAAGUAUUUUGAGUUAUCCUCCAGAUUUAAGCAGAGCUCAUAGGGUAUAACCCAGAACAGGCUUUUCUAGAGAAGCCACCCAAGUCGUGUCUUUCACACACUAAAAUUGUGAACCCUGGAUCGACAUCAUGCUGUGUGUCUGAAAUUUAAACUGCACCAAAUAGCUAUGGACAGUGUGCGUGCUCAAUUCUAUACCUGUAAUAAUCGCUCAGGGAGCACUUCUCUUGAACAGACAUUUGUCUAAUUAUUCACUUGAAUCUUGUAAUGUUCAUUACAAUUCUAUUUUACAUAUAAGUAAUUUUUUUUUAAAAAAGAAGGAUUUUUGUAAAUUGCCCAAAAUCAUAGAAUUAGUAAUGUCAAUGCUAGGGUGUGAGGCACAUACUCUACUUCAGAGGCUGCCUUCUUAACCACAGUCUAAGGUAGCGUUGAGACUAUGUGACCUAAAGCUUUGAAUCAGGAGAUACUCUCUGUUGGGUGAUCAAGAUUGGCCUUAUUGGCUCAUCAAAGUUCAUCAAAACUGUAAUAAUCACUAUUUUAAAUUGUUCUUAGGCAUGGAAAAAAGAAAAGAUGGAAUCAGCAGCUCAAGAAUCUGGGAAGUCAGACAGAAGCUAAAACUUAUGAGAGUUAGGGCGAGUUAGCAUGAUAGGGUUGGAGACGCUGUGGGCAGGCACAGAACGUCAGGCUGUUGGCGCGGCUGUUUGGACGCCUGCCUCUAAAACUGGAGCACCAGGCUUUGAGUCCCAGCGCCAGCUCCUAGUUUCAGCUCCCUGCUAGUGCAAACUCAAGGCGGCAGCAGAGAUGGCUCAAGAGAUUGGGUCCCUGCCACCCACACAGGAGACCUUGAUUGAAUCCCUGAAUUUGGCCCUGGCCUUGGUACUCCCUAUCCCUGUUGUAAGCAUCUGGGAAGUGAAUCAACACAUGGAGCCAUGUUCUCUCUCUCUCUUCAUUUGCUUCUCAAAUAAUAAAUAUUUUAAUAAUCUACAUUUUAUUGUGCUCCAGAUUGAAAAACAAGUUUACUAUCAGCAUUUUCAUCUAAAAUAGCUGGAGAGAAAGGCCCUACAAAACUACGUAGAUAUUUCCUUCAUGGUCACGGUGUAAUAACUCUGAACUGUCUGUAAUAACUGGGUUGAAUGUACUCUGGACAAUACACUUCAGUAUUUCUUACAAAAAAGGGAAAAUCUUCAGGCAGUGGCACUAGAACCUGAAAUUGUUUUUGUUUUGUUUUGUUUUUUUUAGAUUUAUUUAUUUAUUUAUUUUGAAAGAGUUACAGAAAGGGAGAGACACAGAGAGAUCUUUCAUCUGCUGGUUCACUUCCCAGAUAGCUGCAAAUGGCAGCACUGAACCAGGCAGAAUACAGGAACUUCAUCCACGUCUCCCACAUGAGUGGAAGAGCCCAAACACUUGAGAAAUCUUCUGCUGCUUUUCCCAGGCCAUUAGCAGGGCUAUGGAUAGGAAGUGGAGCAGCUGGAACACAAACAGGUACCCAUAGGGGAUGCUGGCAUUGCAGACAGCAGCUUUACCUGCUAUGCUGCAAUGUCAGCUCCAGAAUCUGAACUUUUUAGAUGAUAAUAAUGACGAUGAAUUCAAAGAUUAUAAUAAAAGCUAAAAUUUUAAGGUUUCUAACUCAAAUACUGUGCUUAGUGAUUUAAAAAGAUUAGCCCAAGGUGGGCAUGUGACACAGUGCGUAAAGCUCCUUUUGAGAUGCCCAUAUGCUAUAUUGAAGUUCCUGGGUCCAAGUCCUGGCUCAUUCCUGAUUCUAGCUUCCUGAUGAUAUGUAAACCAGGAAGCAGCAGGUGAUGUGCCUGCCAAUCAUCUGGGAUGUUGUGAUUGAGUUUUAGGUUCUGCAUUAGGCCUCACUCAGCCCCAGUUGUUACAGGCAUGGGGGAGUGAACCAGGAAAAGAGAGAUAGAUGUCUCUCUUUCUCUCUCACUCUCACUCUCCCCAACCUCUGUGAGUGUGAAUGUGUUUGCCUCUCACAGAAAUAAAAUAAAUAAUUUUUAAAAAGAUUAGCUCAUGCAUUUUAUUAUACCAUCUAAGGUGGCUCUAAUCUCCUGUAUACUAUGGUGCUGUAUACCAUGGAAAUGAAAUAAACAAGAAUGUAUUGACAAUCAAUAUUCAAUAUAAUAUUUUCCCAAAUGUAUUAUAAAUUCUUGGAAGGCAAGUUUUAAUAAGAUUAAGCAGACAGAAGACAUCUGGUAAAUAUCUGACAAAUAAUUUCUAACUUGACCUAAAAAAAGAACAAAAUUACUUUAAAUGAUAUAUUGAAACUUCAAUACCAAUACCAUAAAAUAAUUUGUGAUCAUACUAAUGGCUGUUAAAUUUCACAUAUUAAUAGAAGUUGCAUGCAUACCUUGACCCACUUAGAUUUUUAUACAUAAGUUAAAGCUGAUGUG